CCCGACCCUCGCCCCGCCCCCGGCCCGCAGUGCCGCCCCAGCCCCGCACAGGAGACCCCGCGGGGUUCGCUCGGCUUCGGAGCUGCGGGAAGGGCACCGCGUCCCCGUUCCUCUGCACCAUUCCCCCGCCGUAAGAAACCUGUGGAGCAUCACACACAAAAGCGGGAUUACCCGAUGCGGCACUUGGGGAGCACUUCAAAUUGAAGAACGGCUCGAGGGCUGAAAAAAUCACUUGAUAAAACACCCAGCAUUUCCAUUCGUGCAGGAGAUGUGCGAAGUGAGAGCAGUGUGGCGAAGCAGCAGAGGCAGAAGGCAGGACAUGGCAGGAGCACACCAGGAGCCACGAACUGCGUGCCACUGAGCCACGCUCCUCAGGCAUGGCGAGGUAACAUCACACCUGUCCUCUGACCAAACCAGGGAAGGUGGAUGCGUUUUAUGGACAUGUGGCUUCCUGGCAAACCCCACGAGGAAAUGAUCCAUUGAUGUGUCCGGUCCUCAUCCUUUGCUGCGUGCUGCCGGGCCAUCUCUGCGCAGUGGGGCUGUGCCAGCUCAGGAAGGGACCCUGGAAGUAAUGCACAGGAUUGGAGUUCUGCAGGAGAGUGCUCUGUCAGACCUUCAGAGGGCUUUGAGAACAGAACUGCUGCCUCGUUCGGACGCCUUGUUGCAGCUGGAACACACAUUUUGUUUGGAGGCAGAAGAAGUCUUAUCUGCCUGUACCAGUACACGGAACCAGUGCUUGUGUUGUGCUGUGAACUGUGAGGCAGGCUGGAAAGGAGAGAAAAUCACCAGCUGCCAGGAACCUUCCCUGCAUGGCACACGUAGCUGACACUCCAGCAUAAUUGGUGCUCAUAUGAGAGGAGAGGGCACAGCAGCUGUAUUACAGCUGUACAGAGUCCAUUGGCAUGAAUGCACCAUCAGCAAGCGGCAAAGCAAAAUGCAUCCCAAACCCUCACUGACAUGUUCUAUUCACUCAUGGCAGAGGGAUGUGUUUGACAGGGAAACUGAGGUUUGCUCCAAAGGCAUCAGCACAGUCAGCCCAGGGCCAUCCUCCAGCACUGCCCUGCAUGGGGACAGCCCUUGUGCAACAGCGAGCCGAGGUGGCACAACCAGAUUGCAAUAGCUGCUGACUUCUCUAAGUACAGCUGCUCACAUCAGGCAGGCUCAGCACAGGCAGCUCACUGUGACACACGGUUGGCACCGUGAGAGCGGCGCUUAUUAUGACUACAGCCACGCUCAUUGUUUUACGUGAAGAUGAUCAGGAAUAAGUUAAAAUAAACAGAAAUGGGAGUGUCUGCAAGGGGUCUGCAUUGUCCUCGCUGAGCUGGUGGAAGGUCGUGUGUAGAAAGGCUUUGCUGAUUUGUAAAUACAGAAAUCCUUGAGCUCCCGUCACGAGAAUUGCUCCAGAAGCGCCCGGCGCUGCUUCUUUCCUUCCUGGGCCUCUUGAGAGAGGAGGGGACGACGAUAACAAAAAUAAUGCAGCACUGGCCUUUUUAAAUAGGCACUCCUUCUGUAAUGGUUCGGUGACUGCAGAGCGGUCCCAGGAGGCGUUUUCCCUUUCGGUUAACUCCCACCCCAGGGGCCGAUGCCUGCUGUGCUGCUUUCCUGGGCCCUGUGCUGGAAGGAGGCCCCGCGGCUCCGGCUGCGGCACGCAGGCUGCAGGCACCUCUCCCAGGAGCAGCAUUAAAAUAAAUUUUUCAGAAAAAAUACCUCCUUUCAUCUUGAAGAUGCAAAGUGUUGGUGGAUAGACACGUCUUCUUGUAAAUGAUCCUGAUGGUUAAUUGCUUUGACUGCUCAGAAAUUGUGUUUAAUUUGACUUGGCACCAUCCACAAGAUUAAAAUACCUUUGCUUUCAGAUACUCCUUCCGCACGCAGGGACCCAGCUGCUUGACUUUCCCUGAGCUGAGUGGAAGGAUGCAGCCCUCAGCCUGCUGCCCAGCCCCAGUGCUGCCCAGCCCCCCAGCGCCCUGAGCCCCAGCAGCAGCUCUCCCCCAUCCCAGGCACUCACCACUGCUAUAAGAUGUCUUUACAAUCCCUUCCCAGGAGUGCCAGAGCUACCUUAGAAAACACACUUCGCUACAAUCAACCCAACUUCUCCCCAGGAUAAAUAUUCCACACCAUUUGUUCUGCAGAGCUGAUAGAGGGCUUUAAAAUGGCAGCUAAAGCACAAAGCAGAUCGCAGAGAUGACCUCUCCUACCAUCCAGGUGCGUUGCACACAAAAGAUUUCCAAAGCGACUGCUGCUGAAGCCAAGCCAAAGCUCUCACUAUUUUCCACACAGACAGCGUGAUGUUAUCACAGGAGCCAUGUUGGGGCCCAUACAUUGGCACGGAUCCUUCACUAUUGUCGGGAAAAUCUCUAUUUGAGGAAUUGCAGAGUAACAAUGAUAACUCUCAAAGUGCGUUGUUGCUUUCUCAGCGCAGAGCCCAACCCAAGCACAGCCAGCACUCAAUGCAUAGGGCAACCUAAGCAAUGCCACCACGGGGCUGCCUGGCCAAUGAUGUAAGCAGUGAGAAAGCUCCACGAGCCUGAGAUCUAUGGGAAAGAAGGCUUCAGCCUAUCCAUUUUCGAGAAGAUUUCUCACAAUAGCUCUGAGAGCUUUUGUUUCCCAUUGUCGGAAGACUAAUUUCUGACAUGGUCCUCAUUAGCAGCUCGGCAGCAACGCGACGUCCCACUCAUCCAUCGCCACAGCCUGGCACUCCUUGGGGUGCUGGCAGGGUGGGCUCACCACAGCCCCCCAAGGGAAUCAGAGAGACAGCUUUUGCACAGAAAGUGUGGAAAAACCCUACUGUGAUUCACCCACACCCAGUUCAAUAAACAUCAGAUCUGGUGGCGUUCGUCGUUUUUUUCAUCCCAUGCUCGAUUACAGCUUCAGUUAUUGCUCAAAU
ensembl:lncRNA